GCGGGUGUAUAUAAAUGUGCAGCUGCAGAACUCUGAUCAUUGCCAGUUGAAGCAAGCCGCACAUCAGAGAUGGAGAGCCUUAUAACAAAAAUCGCCACUGAGAAGCUGAGCACCUACGCUGCGGUCAUAUCUAUCUUCACCUUCACUAUUUUGCUCGACAGGGAUUUUGCCUGCACCUGCAAACCACAAGUACUGAACUGCAACCUGUACAUUGGUCUGCCACCCUUUAUCAUUUUUUUAUUAAUGCUGUUGUUGGACAGUUCGUUCCAAAGCAUCUGUAGAUACUAUUCCUCUCAUUGUAAAUGCCUCUGCGGUCUUUGCUGUUUUUAUGUCAAUCAUUUUUUAAGGGCAUUAUUAGUCGGCUCGCUGUGGGUUGCUUUUUUGUACCUCGAUGGAGACUGGUAUGUUUGCUGUCAGAAUGACGGCUCUGAAGAACAGGCAAAGUUAGCCUGCAAAGCUGAGAAAGAUAUCACGGUCAACGAGAAAGCUCUUAAAGCUGAACUGAAGAACACUUCCCGGGCUAUCGGUGGCUGGAUUCUAUUUGGAAUUAUUUUAGUGGCUUUCGUCUUACCAUUGUGUGUCAGAUCAAAAUGCUGGGGGAAAAAAAAACAUUCUGCCAACAAAAGAUUUCUGUAUGACAAACUAAUUAUAAUAGAGGAGGGCAAUGUGCUGAGAGAGGUUCUGAGGAAUUCAGCAAAGGAGAAGUUGACCGAAGGAAUCAAGAGCAAAAUCCGUGAAAAACGAAGGGAAGAGUGUUUCGAUGUUGCCAGAGAGCUGAUUGAAAAAGACCCGUGAAAAGAGGAGCACCAACCGCUAGGGGAACAAGAAACAGAGACAUAGGCCCAGAUACACCGGCCAGUCAGCUGAGAAGUCGCCGACGC